CUGGUUUUGCCUAAAUCCCAAUAAGACACUAGAAUAUAACCAGGCUAAAUCCCGGAGGGACUCUCUAGCGCAUGCCUCGCACAGCCUUCAGUCACUUAAGUGACUUGACUUAAAUCACUUCUGAAACGCGCCCAACCCCUCAUCCAGAUAUUAGUUCCCCCUUCCUUGAGAUAACCCAGCCCACGGAACUCUCACAUCUACUCACUUUCAAUUUUUACCCACAUCACUCAAAUCGGUUUUGACUUUCUCUAGAUUAAGAACAAACAAUCCUAGUCUCCGAUUCAACAUCACGGUCUGCUAUUUGAAAUGGUUACAGGAAAUUUACAUUCAUCAAGCUAGUUUCGUCACCAAUUUGCCAAAAGAGGAGAUUGUAAAUACAAGAGUUUGGGUAAGACUAGGUGACUAAAUGAUAUAGUUUAUCUGAUCAUUAUAUUUGUAAUUUUGGAUGAAUGUAAAAUAAUUAUUGAUUUUAUCUAUAACAACAUUGAGUUUAUCUAGAAAUCUUAAAAGUUAUUUAGAUAAGUUAUUUAUGUGAAAUUUGAGUCCAUAAGGAUCUGCACUUAUCCAGAAUAGAAGCUGAAUAGAAAUCAAUUAUUGUAGAGAAGAGUUAUCGCAAAGUGUCAGCAAUUCGUCAGGAGACGUUUUCACGACAAAUUCUAACCGUCAGCAAAGUCCUACCUCAACUAUAACUCUUUCCAAGCUUUCUAUUUAAAGAGAUUCGGUUUCAUAACUCUUUAAGGAGUUUUAGCUAGGAAUUAUUGAGAGUAUAUUCCAAAGUGCUUGAGAGAGAAAAUUCACUUGAGAAUUUUCAUCACUCCUUAAGUGUGAUCGUGCUUCAAGUUAAAAAGAUCGUUGAUUAGAUCUCAGCCACUGAAGUUCCAAGAGAAGAGACAAUAUUUGAAUAACACUAGAUGUUCUGGCUGCUUCCGCAGUAGAAGAUAAAUAGGUUAUUUGUCUAGUUAAGUAAAAGAGUCAAUUAGUAAAUGUUUUAUAAUUGAGAACUUACUUAUAAAUUGAUUUUCAAAUAAAUUUUCAGGAUUUGGCUAUUUUGUAAAGUUUUAUUUUUAAAUAGUUAUUUAAAAGGUUUUCAUUCGUAAUCAAUCUUUGUGUUAUGUAAAUUUAUUUAUUUACUUUAAAUAUUUGAUUUAUUAAAUAAUUAUAAAAUUGACAUCUAACCAAUGUAUUAAAUAAAUUGAUAGAUAAUUUUAUAAAUUCAAAUGGAGACAUAGAGAAUUUCAGAAGGAACCGUAGCGUGGGAAUUAGAUCCGAUUUGCCACGUUAGGGGAUGUGCGGCGUGCUAUAGGGAACGGUCUCCGUCGAGAUUUAUUGAUAAUAAAUAAGAGAAAUAAACCCAUUCAUUGUGGAUGAAAAACGCUAACAUGAUAAAGACACGAAUCGUUGCGGCGAUGCGCUUCCAGAAGUCCAGGCAAAAUGGGAUUACUAGCACUGAGAAGCCAAGCUGAAGCAUCGGUCCGGGAAGUGAAAACAGAGUAAAAAUGUCACAUAAUCUUCUUCUCGAUUCACAUGUUCGAUACUUCAAAUCACUUGUUUAAUUCAUUUUAGUUGCUUUAACCGGUAAACAUUGCUGCUUUGAUAAUUUCUCUGAGGUUUAAAUAGUUGCUUAAAUUAAACAUUGCCCAUAGUUUGUGUGCUUUGAUUACCAUUCUUGAUUCCAGAGUUCCUGAUAACUUGCUAGAGCUAUAAUGCCGGAGAUUCACAUUUUUUUAUGAGCUCUAUGUUAGGUUCUGUUCAUCUUUGAUGUUGCUUGUUGAUGCUAUUCAGUCGGUAACCAAAAUUUGCUUGCUUUGUGUUCUAUGCAUGAUUCAUGGAAAUUGCUUCGGCAUUACAUGUUUCUCAUUCAUAAUUCAUUGUCCCACAGAUCUGCGUAUGCCCUCCUAUGCUCUUUCUUGGUUGUAAUGCAUAGAUUCUGGAUAUGUAUAGAAGAUAUUCUUUUAUAUCGCAUUUGUAUGCUAUCUCAUAAUCGGGAAAUCUGCUAACAAUCAAGCUUGCCUUAUACAAUUAAGGCACUCUCAAUAAAAGUAAUGCCUGUAUACUCUCUCACAAACGGAAUGGAUAUAAUGCUGGUAGAGAAUGAUUCCUAUAAAGUAGGACUAUCAUAAUAUGGACGCUUUACCUAACUGGCUAAUGGUGUGAAAGGGGUCCGACUGUCUUGCCGACCACACAACUCUCUAUACCAUUGAAUUACAAUUGUCAGGAUCAACAGAUAUCAUGAUAUGAUUGAACGCCGUUGUUCGAUGGCUUGCCAAUUUGUAAACAAUCUAUUGGUGGUAUAGUGGGAGUCCUCAACUCUCCAAAAGUCUGCCAGCAGAAGGGAUUAUACAUGUGGUACUUCUCUUGCUGUGGCUUUAGCUGUAUGGCAGUUAGUGUUACAUCUAAACAUGGAAGACUGUCACUGCAAGCAAAGUGCAAGGGCUUGACCGUGUAUGUCCCCCUUAUCCUCUCAUAGUUGAUUCCUGAUAGAGCCACAGCUGAUGUUUCGUUUUUGCAUGUCCUUUUGUCACAAUAGUAUUGGUCAAUCACAAUUGGGAUUUGAACUUCAGAAACUUGAAUGUUUGAAAAGAGUACCCCCUGCACAGAGCCUGAUCCUCCCUGCAGAUUUAGUAUUUGAAUUCAUUAGCAACAACAUGCAUUGUGAUAUAAUUACUCAGAUUGGGUUCUUUAGGUUUCAAAUUUUGAUUUGAUUUCUUCUAGUAUUUUGGUUAACAUCAAAACUUCUUUUCAAGGUUUCCAAAUUCUUUAGAAACUUUUGAAAUCCUAGAAACCAUAUGUUGAACUGGGUCAAAUUCACGACAGUGAGUAUUUUUUUAAAAUUAGUUUCUAGACAGUACAAAUGGUUGACACUCUUUUGGAAAUCAAAAUGGACAUGUUGAAUUAUAUUGAAAGAAGAGAACCAUUGGCUGGGCAAAGUUAGUAACAAUCAAAGGAUGAAGUGCUUAGAUAUCAAUGUUUGCCUUCCGGUCAAAGGAUAAUUUCAACCCCGUAAAUAUUGGGGGAUAGUGGAUGAGAUCAGGUUUAAGCAUCCCAAGUGCGUGAAUGCCUUGCAAUUAGAAAUAAGAACUUGAUCUUCCUUCACGAUAUUCCUGAUUUUGUUACUUUUAACUUUUUGAUUUUUUCAAUCAUAUAAUUAGAAAUGGUAUCAAUACCUGCCAUGUCUUGAUUCUGACACCAUUCAUAGUGUUCUGCAUAGUGACGUCUCGGACAGUAAUGUUAGAGACGCAGGCUUUGGUGCUAUCCUUUCCUAGACUUCCAAUGCUGAUUCCAUGUCCUGGCCCACAGUUCACAUUGUGUAUGUAUAUGUUUGAACAUCCAGUUUGUAUAGAAACACAGUCAUCUCCUGCACGUGCCAUGAGAAAUUCAAGUCCUUUGUUUUUUGUUAAUUGUAGCCAGCUUAUCUUGUCACAUUUUAUUUCAAGGUUAGUGCUCCCUGCUCACUUUUCACGUUGUUUAUGUAGAAGAUUUGAGCUUUUAGUUUUUAUAUAAAUGCAGUCAUUUACUGUUCCAAGGAGCUAGAACUAAAUUUAGCUUAUACUAAAUGUAUGGACCUGUUUAAAGUUCAUGCUAUAUUAGCUACAUCACCCUUAUAUAAGUACUAAUAAACAAAGGGUAGAAGGAUUGGGAAGAAGAUGUUCUAGUUGCUGAUGAAGACAAAGAAACUACAGGAAGAAGAAAAAAACAAAGUGUUUUUGUUAUCUACGGGGUUAAGACCUAAUCCUCCGCUGGAUGUGCCACUAGUGAUUCCAGAGAUGACACACGUCAUAUAAUUGCUAGAGCCUUGUGUCAGACUGUAAAUGGUCAGAGAUUGUUGCUCCGAGGUAUAAGGCUUUGGCAGGAUAAGAUUGUGUCUGUGUUUUCAUUACCCAAACACAGUUAUCUCAAUUAAGAAAUCUUUCCUCUCUGCUAUUUCUAUAUUCAUUCAAAUAAUGUAAUUUUGAUCUAUGACACUAUAGGUUGUGUUCUUGAUUCUUGCUCAGUUCGUGACCACUUAGUGUCUAAUCAAUUGUCAAAUGAAAAAUUCUAGAAGUAAUUAAUUACCACAGGCAAGAUUGCUGCUGUAAAUUAGAACGUCUUUGGAGUUCUGUAGAUGGAUUCCAUCUGUAUUGGGACUGUCACCAGGAGAUGAAACACUUAAAUCAUGGACCAACACUCCCAUGCAGUUGUCAAACUUCAGGUGGCACUGGGGACUACUUUGAAUUGUUAUGCCUGUGACUGUCACAUUAAAACUCCCAUAAAACCUAAGUGCCUGUGCAAGGAGAAUGCAGCAAUUCUGUUAGAGGAUGGCUUGGCCAUGAAGUAUGCAGCCAAUUUCAAGUUUCGAAGUGGUCCUUACAGUUGGCUUGAUGCUUGGCAUUAUCCUCCCUAGCUGGCUUCUUAUCUGCCACCCAGUUAUUGGCGAAUCAUGAUUAUGAUCAGUUUCAGAUAAAUGAGAAUGUAAAUGCAGGGGAAAAUACAAGGUGAGGUGAAUUGUUACCGGUGCUGACAGGUUCUUUUCAACAGUGCUAUUUAAUGGGACAAUGAGUUCUUUUUCAUCAUCAACAGGAUCAUCGAAAGGGGCAUCUUGCCACCAGACUGAGCCUCUUCCAUCAAUGAUACCUUUUCCCUGGAUGGUAAUUCCUUUUAGCUUUGUGAACUCAAGCCAUUGUAGCAGACCAUUACCCCAAACUUUGGAGUUCGUUGGAGCAAUGAUUGUGCCAUCCAGCUGAGAAAAAGCAUCACUUCAGUAUUUAAGUUAAAAUUACAUCCAGAUUCCAGACCUUUACAACAAUGAAUUGUUCUGAGUUGACAUUUCCUGUUAGCCUUUUAAUUAUUCUGCUCAUACAAGAUUCAAACAACCCAACCCGGAUCCCUCCCAUGAAUUGUUCCUGAACAACUUCGGAUUGUAAAAUUCGAUAAUAGUUUCAAUUCUGACUUUGUUAUUUGUAUCUAAA